rnacentral:rRNA from 1 species
AGAAUCAACGCUGGCGGCGUGCCUAACACAUGCAAGUCGCACGAGAAAGGGUAGCAAUACCUGAGUAAAGUGGCGCACGGGUGAGUAACACGUGAAUGAUCUACCUCCGAGUGGGGAAUAACUGAGAGAAAUCUUAGCUAAUACCGCAUAACACUUACGAGUCAAAGCAGCAAUGCGCUUGGAGAGGAGUUCGCGGCCGAUUAGUUAGUUGGCGGGGUAAUGGCCCACCAAGACGAUGAUCGGUAUCCGG